GAUGAAGAACGUAGCGAAAUGCGAUAAGUAAUGUGAAUUGCAGAAUUCAGUGAAUCAUCGAAUCUUUGAACGCACAUUGCACUCAUUAGUAUUCUAGUGAGUAUGCCUGUUCGAGCGUCAUUUCAACCCUUAAGCCUAGCUUAGUGUUGGGACUCUACCCUAACCGGUAGUUCCCCAAAAUCAGUUGGCGGAGUUCAGUCGGCUCUGAGUGUAGUAAUUUUCUCUCGCUUUAGAAGUCUUCUGGAUUACGGCCAGAAAGAGACGAGUCUCGCAUCUCGGUGCGUUUCUCAACUUUUUUUUUUACAAUGGUUGACCUCGGAUCAGGUAGGAAUACCCGCUGAACUUAAGCAUAUCAAUAAGCGGAGGA
rnacentral:misc_RNA from 1 species